rnacentral:rRNA from 1 species
GAUGAACGCUGGCGGCGUGCCUAAUACAUGCAAGUCGAGCGAACGGACGAGAAGCUUGCUUCUCUGAUGUUAGCGGCGGACGGGUGAGUAACACGUGGAUAACCUACCUAUAAGACUGGGAUAACUUCGGGAAACCGGAGCUAAUACCGGAUAAUAUUUUGAACCGCAUGGUUCAAAAGUGAAAGACGGUCUUGCUGUCACUUAUAGAUGGAUCCGCGCUGCAUUAGCUAGUUGGUAAGGUAACGGCUUACCAAGGCAACGAUGCAUAGCCGACCUGAGAGGGUGAUCGGCCACACUGGAACUUGGACACGGUCCAGACUCCUACGGGAGGCAGCAGUAGCGAAUCUUCCGCAAUGGGCGAAAGCCUGACGGAGCGACGCCGCGUGAGUGAUGAAGGUCUUCGGAUCGUAAAACUCUGUUACUAGGGAAGAACAUAUGUGUAAGUUACUGUGCACAUCUUGACGGUACCUAAUCAGAAAGCCCCGGCUAACUACGUG